rfam:Absidia repens strain NRRL 1336 BCR42scaffold_13, whole genome shotgun sequence.
GCCCGUGUGAUCUAGUGGCUAUGAUGUUUGCUUUACACGCAAAAUGUCUCCGGUUCGACCCCGGACGUGGGCA